GGUAAGAUGGCCGAAUGCUAGGCGGUGGGUUGUAGCCCCAAAGACGUAGGUUAAAUUCCUAUUUUUACCA
rnacentral:tRNA from 1 species